AUGAUGGAUUGGUUAUCCGCUUAAAAUAUGGCGAAAAACAGCACUUUGGAUAAAUGAACUGCCUGCAGUUUUGAUGAAAUUACUGACAAAUAUGCAAUUGCCUCACUUGGCCUAAAGUUCAACGAUUUCCGUGUCAAUGGCAUUUUCUCAAUCUACUGUAUUUGUGAACAAUCGCCAUAUCUUUUCUACUCUUUUCUCUAAAUUUCAACCCUAUUCUUCAUCGCCACCACAAAUUUCGGACGAUGCCCCUAGUCUCAACCGCCGUCUCAAUCUUGAAACACCACCGUUCAAAGUUGCGGUGGUCCCACUUCCGUUCUCUCCUCAGUACCACCAGUAACCUCCUCAACCCGUCUCAGUUUUCCCAAAUUGCCCUUGAAAUCCGCAACAAUCCUCGCCUUGCCCUCCGUUUCUUCCAUUUCACUCUUAGUAAUACUGUCUGCUGCCAUUCUCUUCUAUCCUAUGCUACCAUAAUUCACAUUCUUUGUCAUUCCAGGCUUAAGACUAAGGCCGAAAGCUUAAUUCGGUUAGCCUUUCGAAAUUCCCAGAAGCCCACCAAUCCAGUUCUUCAAGCCCGGCUCCCAUUUUGGAAAUCCUGAUAAAAACUUAUAGGACUUGUGGUUCUGCAUCAUUUGUGUUUGAUUUGUUAGUAAAAGCUUGUUUAGAGUCGAAAAAGAUUGACCAAGCUCUUGAUAUAUUUAGAAAGUUGAACUCCAAGAAUGUGUUUGUAAGAACUAGUACUUGUAAUUCUUUGAUUGAGUUGUUUUCCAAGAGUCGAGGUUGUUUUGCUGCAUACGAUCUGUACAGGGAAAUUUUUUGUUUUAAUGGUGAAAGUGGUGUUUACUAUAGGAGAGGCGCAAAGGGUUUUUUUCCAAAUGUGAAUACGUUUAAUGUGCUGAUGGUUGCAUUUUACAGAGAAAGAUUGGUGGAGAAUGUGGAGGAGUUAUGGAAAAAAAUGGAAAAAGUGGUUUGCAAGUCGAAUUCAUAUGGUUAUAUAGUUAUAGUGUUCUAAUGGCCGUGUAUUGUGGCAAUGCGAGAAUGGAGGAUGCCAUGAGGGUAUGGGAGGAAAUGCAGAUUAAAGGUGUGAAGUGUGAUGCAGUGGUUUACAAUACACUUAUUGAUGGAUUUUGUGGGAUUGGAGAGAUUGGGAGGGCCGAGGAGAUCUAUAGAGACAUGGUAAUGAAUGGUUUGGAGAGUAACUGUGUUACUUUUGAGAAUCUCAUAAAUGGAUAUUGUAAGAUUGGGGAUGCUGAUUCUGCAAUGUUAUUGUACAAGGACAUGUGAAGGGAAGGUUUUAAUUUGGAUAGUUUGACGGUUGAUGCAGUUACUAGAGUGCUUUGUGAUAAGGGCGACAUUUCUCCUGCUUUGUAUGUUUUGAUGGUUCUAUCGAGGAAACAUGAUGUUAUUCCAAAGAAGGAGAGUUACCAAGUUUUGAUAAAAUGUUUUUGUCAAGAGGGGAAGAUGGAAGAGGCUUUCAGGCUUCAGGCAGAGAUGGUAGGGAAAGGAUAUGAACCUGAUUCAGAGACAUAUGGUGCUUUUAUUGAUGGGUAUUUGAAACAAGGGAAUGAAACAAUGGCUGGUAAAUUGAGGAAAGAAAUCCCAACAAGUAAGUUUCCUCGGAGGAGAAAUAGAGAUGAUAUCAGUUUACACCAUUUGCAGCACUUUUGAGCACAGUCUGGAAAGUGCAAGCUUCUAGUUGAAGCAAAAUGAUAGAGAAUUAAUGUCAGAGAGCAGGAAGUAGUCAAAGAUUGAAAAGAGAUGAAGCCAUUGAGAGAAGCCAUGACAAGAAUGCCAUUGUAACAGAUAUCUGAUACCUACUGCAUAGCCUUUGAGGACAAAACGUUUCAUCAGCUCUGAGCAGAAGAUCAACAAUGCUUGCGCUCGCUGCAGCUAAUGUGAGAAUGGACAAAACCUAUUUAUUGAAACAAACUUUGUUAUGCUUUAAAACUAGUAUCUCUGUACAUGGAUCAGAGAACAGGAAUUACCAAGUCUCCUACAACAAUGACGAGCAAUAUUCCCGACUGACUAAUUGGGCAUUUAACCAGGAUGGUGUAUCCAUCGAGGAGUGCCAAAGUGAAACUCCAGUGUGUGACCAAGCCCAUGACUGUUACCAAGAAGCUGUGAUUUAACAUGUGGAAACAGAAGAAACUUAUUGCAUUUUCCUAAUGAAGACAUAAUGUCUGAGUCAGCAAAUAAUAAGUUGGCUGACCUUUCUACCCAAAACCAUUAAAGAUAUAUUGGCGAUGGAUUUCUAAUGUUUAUCUUUCAGAUAUAUUGGCGAUCAUAUGGUUAAAGAACAGAAGGUAACCGCUGGCGCAGAUGGGGAUGUAAAUCUACCUGCAAAGAUGCCUAUGCAGAAAGAAUUGUAUCAGUACUAAAAUUUACCAAAAGGCUGUAUAGCUGUAGAACCCAACUCGUAAUGACAUGAAGAAAAGAGAAGCUGAAGAGAAGAUGAUCUGACCAAGUCUCAGAAUAAAGCUUGCCCAGGUUCCCACAGAACCCGGCACAGAAUCCAGGGCCAUGUGACUUGUUUCAAGGGAUCUACGUCAACAGAUCCACCUCAAUGAAGGACGGUGAUUGCCAUUUUUUGUUUGCAAACUCAUUAAAUACUUCAAAUUGAAUUCUAAAUCUUUCCAAACUUCGCAUCAAACCCAUCCCUAAGUUCUUGAACCCAGUCCACCAAUCUGUGUAUUCAAGAAUUCUCAAGAAGUUCGUUUCUUUUCAGUCAUCUUUUAUAAGAAUUGUAUCUCUGUUUUAGUGAUGAUCAGACUAUAAAAGAGUCGGCAUGGAAAAAUGGGAGAUCUGUGGUAGGAGAAUGUGUGCAAGUUACGUCAAGAGUACUUUUCUGUCUUGAAAAUGUUAUUCUUUUUGGAAGAUUAGGAUGCCUUAACUGUGUGCUUUAGUGGAAUUUUGAUUCGUGAAAUGUAAUGUUGUGUUGGUUGAAAAUGAAGUUCAACGUGUAAAAAUGGCUUUAAUCA